UCUUGUUUUGCAGGCAGGGAGGGGCCCAGAGAAGGCUUCUCCUGCCCUGGUUGGGUGCAGGCGUGCAGUGAGCCCUCCAGGAACUAGAGUCCAGCUGGGAAGGGAAGACUCUCAGCUUGCUUCACUAUGUGAGGCAAGUAGAGGGAGACCCAGGCCCCACAAAGUUGAAACAGGCAGGGAUGACAUCUCCCACUUCCUGUGUGUCGGGUGCUUUGCACUCGUGUUGGCCAUGUUUUCUUAUUUGCUGUAUUCUUGAUGCUCUGACAUCUGGGGCCUCACUGACCCGGGAGAGACUGUCCCUCCCAGGGCUGCCAGUUCUUAGAAGAGCAAUGGACGUGCCCAGGAGCUCACCUGUCAUAUGCAAACCAGCCAGUCCAGAGCCCACACUCCCCACCACCUCCUCCAUCUGGCUCUUAUGCUCCAGGAGGCCCAUGUUCUUCUGCCAUAUUCAUCCCAGGGCCAGGUACCAGGCAACUAGGGACAGCCCCUAAUCCCCAGAGCCCACAGACAUUAUUCAUACCAGCUGAUCCUAAACCUGCCUGCUCUCCCUUGCCUUGUCUUUGUCACAGAACCUACAACAAAGGCUCCUGCCCAUGUUUCCCCCUCCCUCCCUCCGCCUCCUGACUGACCCUAGUGCCUCCCUGCAUGGCCCUGCGUGGAGUGCUGGGCAUCUUGUUUUUAUGGUUUUGUGAAUAUAAACUGCUUCCUUCAUAACAGUCAUUUGCAUGUGUGUCUUACCAUACCUGAUUAAAACACAUCCAGUUAUGUUUUAAAAUAGCUCUUAACUCUCCCAGCAGCCCCAGGAGGUAAGCAGGGUCUAUUUUGAUCCUCAUUUUUAUGCAGGAAGAAACUCAGGUCCCGAGUGAGAUGAUGAGAUUUAACUGAGGUCACCUCACAUGUAAAUGUCUGCUGUGGCGUUGGGUCUGAGCCCAGAGCCCGUGCUCCCUACCACUUCUCCACGCAGUGAUGAAGGUCAACAGCCCUCUGGCCCCGUUAACAGGCAACACUUCCCUUUUCUGUGUUGUCUUCCUUCUGCACAGGGAGAAGCUUGAGGACUGAUUGGGACACUGGCUCAGGGGGUCCUUGUCACAUGGCACAGAGAUGAGAGCAGAGGGCUGAGAACUGGGGAUCAAAGGCUGACCCCCGACCUUGCUGAGCUCCCAGGCUGGGAGAAGUGCAGGAUACUCAGAAGAAUGGGACCAAGAGAUCAUUGUCUGCACUUCCCCUCAGAGCAGUGUGCUGUAAUCUCUCACUCUGAAAGGCUGAUAAUUUGCUUGCAAGUCCUGAAUUGGCAAAUGGAUCUCAGUUAAGGUCCUGAACACUGGAUGCAGUUCAUCACAGCCCACAAAACUUCACGUCAUUGCAUGUCACUGGUCCCUGGUAUUUAUCUGUUUUUGGUUUAAGACAACAGAAAUUUAUUGUCGCAAUUCUGGAGGCCAGAAUCCACCAUCACAAUGUCAUCAGGGUCAUAUGCCCUCUGAAGCCUCUGAGAGGACGCUGCCCUGCCUCUUGCAGCUGCGGUGCUCCUGGCAAUCCUCAGCAUCCCUUGGCUUGUAGACACAUUGCUUCAAUCUCUACCUCCCCUGUCUAUUUUUUAGUGUUACUAUUGGGCUUCAUUACAUUCCUGAUUCACAGAACUGGACCAAUGGCUCUAGAGUGAUCCACUGAAGGACAAAGCAAAAUUGUGAUGAAAAGAGUUAACGCUGAAAUGAACACAAGCAUGUGAGGGCAAAUGAGACCCCAGGGGAGCAGGGAGGGAGUUUGUAUCUGCAGAGAUGAGUGAGUGAGGGUGGCGACACCCAGGGCCGAAGGAGAGAAAGGCAUCUCCAAAAUCCGGGGAUGAUAUCUGAAAACUGGGAGUGGCCCACACCCCCAGUGCUUGCCCCCGGGACACAAUCUGUCAUGGGACUUUAUUAAACUGUGAUCUCUGUAGAAAAUUAAUUAGAUACAAACAAAAAGCAAUGUUCCUCAGUACAAAUUGGUGAAUUUUGUUUCUAAAAGUGAAGAAGGUGGGACUUCCCUGGUGGCACAGUGGUUAAGAAUCCGCCUGCCAAUGCAGGGGACACGGGUUUGAUCCCUGGUCCGGGAAGAUCCCACAUGUCACGGAGCAACUAAGCCCAUGUGCCACAACUACUGAGCCCACAUGCUGCAACUACUGAAGCCCACACACCUAGAGCCGGUGCUCCGCAACAAGAGAAGCCACCGCAAUGAGAAACCUGUGCACUUCAAGGAAGAGUAGCCCCCGCUCGCUGCAACUAGAGAAAAGCUUGCGCGCAGCAACGGAAGACCCAAUGCGGCCAAAAAAAAAAAGGUGGAGAAGGUACCAAACCUCGAGGCAUUACUCAGCUGUGCUUCCUGUAGCCUAACAGGAUAAAGUCCUCCUGUUGGGCCUCUGAUGAUAGGGCUGCCACAAUGUGCCGGACGUCUCCCCUUUUCCCUCCCACGCCUACCCUGUGUGCUUGUCAUCCCUGCCCUUACCCGGGGGUUGAUGGACUAUUGCCCCGUUGUGCUCAGACAAUGGGAGCAGCAGAAGGGUCCUGAUCGAGGGGGUGUCUCCUGGCCCCUCCUGGGUGUGGCCCCCAGGGUGUGGUCAGGUUCACUGCAGGCUGGUCACCUUCCUUGUGGACCAUAGGUUUGUCCCUACCAGUCAUGGGUCCCUGACCCAAGCGCAACCAGAGGCCCACAUGCCUUAGGUCAAAAUAUUUGAGUCUGCUCAUAAUCUGCUUAGUGAGAGAUGUGCUGUAUCUCUGCCUUUCGAAGUAGACCGUCUUAAUACAAAACUGAGAAGUAUGUCUUUGUACCAGUGAAAGUUAGCAAAACAGAAACAACUGUAUUUAAUUAUUAUUGCAUGAGCCUGCAGUUUCUGUUAAUGCGUUGGUGAUAUUUGCAAGACUUUUAAAUUAAAGACAUACGGAAUUCUUAAAUUAUUACAUAUUUAUUUUGUGAAAUUUAUUUUUUUCCUUCUCCCAGUAAAAUCACUAAGUAUGGUGUUACAAUCAAUACUUCACAUAAUUUGUUUUCCAUUGACAGUAAUGCCAAAUUAGACAUUUCUUGAAUCAUUGUAGUUCGGAGGUGGUUUUGUUUUAUUCAUUUCCGUUUGGAGAAACUUCUCUCUGUUGUGGCAGCCCGAACUAGGAUCAUCAGUACUUUUCUUAAAGGAACACUUAGAUUGGGAAAUGUCACACAUUUUAUGUGACAUGUUCACGUGGUGCGGUGUGGUCACGUAUCAGAAGUUAUUAUUGCAGAAAAUAUUACAAAAUGUUUUUAUUUCGUGAUCUAAAUUAUCAAUUAUGCCAUGAUUUUAAUCACUUUUAAAAGCAACAUUGGUAGCUUGCUUUAUGCAUAUGUCAAACCCAUAUAUAUUAUAUAUUUUAUAUAUGCAUAUAUAUACUGUAUAUAUAUAUUCACACCCAGGCAUGUAUAUAGAAAUAUAAUAGGACUUGUUUUAAGUUCUUCUGUGCCAUGUACAACUGUUAUGCACAGUGUGUUAAUUCGUGAGCAUCUCUGGAACCAGGAAUUGGAACAUGGAAAGAAGAAGGUAGGUAGUGGGUAUUUGGCACAGUUGGGAGGCAGUUACUUGUUAUGCAAAAAUCGAUUGCCUUCAAGUUAUCUGAGGGAAAGACUUCACAAGUUAAUUUGUCUUUUCUGUCAGUUUGUACUCCUCUGCUGUUUCCUUCACACAGGCCCAUGCACUGACAGUCCUCAAUGUCAACAAGGGCAUGACCCCCAGAUCCUUACGGCAUUUGGGUCCUGUCCCAUUUGCGUUGGGACAUGGUGUGAGCUGUGGGGAGAAGUACUUCUCUGGGCCCAGAAGGGUGUUAGUCAUGAGUUCCCUCUUCACAGCUCCCAGGUUGCCCUGGGCCAGCAGUGGGGGCUAGAUUCCAGUGACCCAGGUGUUCAUGUGUCUUCUAUGAAUUCACUUGUGUGUUUGUUUGUUUAUUUAUUUAUUAAAAAAUAUUUAUUGGGACUUCCCUGGUGGCGCAGUGGUUAAGAAUCCACCUGCCCAUGCAGGGGACAUGGGUUCGAGCUCUGGUCCAGGACAAUCCCGCAUGCCACGGAACAACUAAGCCCGUGCACCACAACUACUGAGCCUGUGCUCUAGAGCCCGCGAGCCACAACUACUGAGCCCACGUGCCACAACUACUGAAGCCCACAUGCCUAGAGCCCGUGUUCCGCAACAAUGAGAAGCCCGCGCAAUGCAACUAGAGUAGCCCCUGCUUGCCGCAACUAGAGAAAGCCUGUGCACAGCAACGAAGACCCAACAUAGCCAAAAAAUAAAUUAAUUAAUUAAAAUAUUUAUUUAUUUGGUGGCACCAGGUCUUAGUUGUGGCAUGCGGGAUCUAGUUCCCUGACCAGGGAUCAAACCCUGGUCCCCUGCACUGGGAGCUCGGAGUCUUAACUACUGGACCACCAGGGAAGUCCCUCACUUGUGUGUUUAUGCUCAAGGCUUUCCAGAGCCUGGGGCCAGGGUAGGAUCCCUCUUGCCUGAAUGAAGCAGCCUUCUCCCUAUAGCACACAUUCUCCCCCUCCCCCUCCCCAGGACUGCAGGUAUAAAAGCAGACUUGCUGGACUGGCCUGAGGCCGCCACCCUGUCUCUUAGCGUGCUUCUAUACCCUUGCCCACCCCUUCCUAUCUAAGCAUCCCUUUCUUCAGCUCUCUUCCAACUGCCUUCAUCUGAGAGAGCCACCUGUUUCCAGCCAAGACCCACCCGCUUCAUAUCCGAGUCUGAAUUCACUGUUGGCAAAUGUGUGGUAGAUAGGGAGACAUGAUCAGCAGAUUUUUUAAAAAAAUAUAUUUAUUUAUUUAUUUUUAUUUUUGGCUGUGUUGGGUCUUCGUUGCUGCACAUGGGCCUUCUCCAGUUGCAGCGAGCAGGGGCUACUCUUCAUUGUGGUGCGUGGGCUUCUCAUUGUGGUGGCUUCUCCUGUUGCGGAGCAUGGGCUCUAGGUGCGUGGGCUUCAGCAGUUGUGGCUCAUGGGCUCUAGAGCGCAGGCUCAGUAGUUGUGGCCCACGGGCUUAGUUGCUCCACGGCAUGUGGGAUAUUCCCGGACCAGGGCUCGAACCUUUGUCCUCUGCAUUGGCAGGCGGAUUCUUAACCACUGCACCACCAGGGAGGCCCUGAUCAGCAGAUUUUUGUCCUAAUUUUUGCUGAAAAACGCCCGCUGCACGAUAGCAGAGCCGCAAUGUAGACUGGAAAAUGUAGACAGGAAGGAAAGGGGUCUACAGCCAACCAAAGAAAUGGCAACUGUAUUUCUUUUUUUUUUUUUUUUUUGCGGUACGCUGGCCUCUCACUGCUGCGGCCCCUCCCGCCGCGGAGCACAGGCUCCGGACGCGCAGGCUCAGCAGCCAUGGCUCACGGGCCCAGCCGCUCCGCGGCAUUGUGGGAUCUUCCCGGACCGGGGCACGAACCCCUGUCCUCUGCAUCGGCAGGCGGACUCCCAACCACUGCGCCACCAGAGCACAGGCUCCGGAUGCACAGGCUCAGCGGCCAUGGCUCACAGGCCCAGCUGCUCCGCGGCAUAUGGGAUCUUCCCGGACCAAGGCACGAACCUGUGUCCCCUGCAUCGGCAGGCAGACUCUCAAACACUGCGCCACCAGGGAAACCCCUGCUUGUUUCUUGAGGUUUCCCCAGGAUUCUGGGCUCCUGUUCUCUAGUUUCCUGAGGUUCACAGGUUCAUCUUUGGAUGUAAUGGUUUUGUGGUCCCAAACAGUAUAUACCCCCUUUAAGAAUGCUGUUAUUUGAAUUUGGAAAUCAUUUUCUGACCUGUUGACAAGUCUUCCAAAUGAAGAAUCUCAGUGGGUUUUGACUCAUUUAUUUAAAAAGUAAUAAAUGCAGCCAAAGAAGCACCUAUUCUACUUGGAUUUACAUAUGUUUGAGACAUACUCUUUUCAGUUAUGAAGGUCAGUUUAUUUUGAGAGUUUUUAAUGAAAUUUCAACUAGAACUUCAGAAAAUGUUAAGCCAUGAUUUUAAAAUUGUUUCUCAAAACAGGCGGAGUAGAAAGACGUGAGCUCACCUCUUCUUACGAAAACACCAAAAUCACAACUGCAAAACAACCACUGACCAAAAAAUGCUGGAACCUACCAAAAAAGAUAUCCUACAUCCAAAGACAAAGAAGAAGCCACAACAAGACGGUAGGAGGGGUGCAAUCGCGAUAAAAAUAUUUCUCACUUUGCUCAGUACAACGUUUCUUUUAGAGCAAAAGUGUUUUUU